CUUUUGACAAGAUUAGUAAAAUCUUUACACUUCUAGUCAGACUACUAAAAAAAUAAAAAAUAAAAAAGACAUAUGAUAUUGAGACAGGUAGGAGGGAGAGGGUCCUCAGAGAAUCUCCAAGGAGCCUGCGCAAUGGGAAUGAGCACUGGGGUGGAAACACAAGUUCGUGCCCUUUGCAGUAGAGAGGAGCCGGCCCUUCCUUCACCUGUGCGGAACCUGGGAUUCACAGGCCUAGGCAGGAAGCACUCUAGCAGGAACUCUGGCCUAGUGGAGUCUCAGUCACCAUUAAAAUUGUCUGCAAGCCUGAAUUUCUGGGGCCAUGGGAUGGACAAGGACCCCAUCCUUAGCCGAACUAAGUAAAGUCCUACAACAUUUUUGGCGUGCAACGUCGGGGCUUGAGAAGCAGUGAGUGAAAUGGGGACUCAAAACCUCUCACUGUGGGUUCUAAGCCUUUCCAUCCUCGGACUUCCGAGGUUAGAGGAACCAGGCCCCCAACUCCCGUUGCGGCUGGGAGUUGGGAGAAAGGCCCUUACUGGGGACCGACCAACCAGCAGCAGCUCCCUGUCCUUACCUGCUUCAUGCUGGGGCUGGGACGCGUGGCUCAAGGGUCUUCGCAGAGCCAGCUUGCGGUCUUCUCCUUCCCCUACCCCAGCCAAGGGGUUCUACUCCAUUGGACAAUAAUUGAACUAAUCUCCAUGGUGGACGAAUCAGUUGCAUAGGAAUGAGAGGCUCUUCCUCAGAUUCAUGGAAGACUUCUAAAGGAAUAAGGGUGGAAGAACA
rnacentral:lncRNA from 10 species